AAGUCUCAACUUGUCUCGUUAUAUCAUACAUAUCAUACUGUAACUCUCACCAAAAAAAAAAAAAUAAAAUUUUCAAGAAAUGUCAAACUGUUCCUUUAAAUAUGCAACCGCAGUCACACUAUAUAUAUAUAUAUAUAUAUAUAUAUACAUGUAUAUAUAUAUAUAUAUAUAAUAUGAACACACACACACAUAAUAAUUUAUUUGGUUUUGUAGACACACAAAUGCUAAGCUACAUGAAACACAGCAGUUGAACCACCUUUUGAAGUAUUCAGUGGUUGUUGCUUUUCUCUACUGGAUGUUCCCACUUGUGGUUGUUUAUCACAUACUUUCUCUUUCUGUUCUGAGAGGUGACUACUGUCAGGGCUCACAUGUUAACCUCACCUGGACGGUCGAGGGAUCGUCUCACUUCUUGAGGUAAACUUUAGUAAUAUCUGUGGUCAGAAUAAUAAUACUAAAUAUUACUAAUAUCUUAAAUUACAGCUAUAAUAAUAAUAUGUUUACACAGUUGACUUUAUGACUGAACAAUAUUAAAACCCUAAUUGAGUUUUUGGCAGUGAUAUCAGUGAUGCAGCUGAUGAUGAUUACUAAGAAUAUCAAGGUUAAAAUUAAGGUUAUUCAAAUCUGUAUAAAAUCUGUAACUCUCUAUAGAUGAUUCAUUCGCAACAUCAUACACACAUACAUAUGUUGUAUCAUUCACAUUAUAUAUAGUGUGUCUCACUGUAGUGUUUCCUAAUGUUUUUGUUCUCUUUCUUAGGGCACAGGAUUGUGACUGUUACGGCCCUGGCCGUAUUAUUAGUAUAAUGUUAUGGUAUUGGUUCCGUCUGUGGUGUGUGUUGGUGUUUGUUUGUCCCUGUUCCUCUGCAGGAGUGUGCAGCCUGUCGAUUGUAGAUCUUUGACGGCAACCCGUGGGUCAGCGCUGACUGGUCCAUGCCGUGGGCUCGGCUGGUGGAGUGUCGCCUGAUGGUUGGUUCUCCCAGCCGCAACAUCCGCGGGGGUUUAUGUGGCGCUCCUUCCCCCUAGACAGGGGCGUAACAGUGACAUUGUUUAAAAGGUCAUUCUGCAAUGGUUAAUAUAUCUCAGCCAAUAGUGGCCGUAGAUCCUGCCUCCACGACUCUGGAGUGGUCCACACCUGACCAGGAACUCAGAUUAAGAGUCUUUCAUCAGUCUUGCUGUUGGUGACAUGUCGCUCCCUCCUAAUAUGAUUGUUCUGGUGGCAAUACUCAUCAUGAUCCUUUGUUUGAUAGUUUUCUGUCUGGCCUGUGACCAAAGAGCAGAUGAUGCUGAAUGUUCUGAUUCUAGUGGCAGUGGAACAUUUUUUUCCUGCUGUGUUGACAUUUGUUGUGGUGUACACUGUCGUCCUGAACUUUGUUGUGCUGUGUAAUCGCCUGAAUGCAGGAACCUUUCUGUUUUUGUUGGCUUAGAAAGAGCUGUUUUUAUCUACAGAGGGAGCGGGUCCUCUUCUACUGAAAUCCAUUAUGUUGAACAUGUUUCUACCUGCACGCUUGGAAGGGAGGGUGAUGCGAGUUGUAUUUAGUUUGUAGCAAUAUGCAACCUCACCACUAGGUGCCACUUAAUGUUUCACCCUUGUCUUUUAAUAUGUCAUUUCACAUGCUUUUAUUAUGUCAAUUAUCUUGUAUUGCAUGCAUACAUACCAUUUUUAUAUAUAUCUAAAGACUCUUUUGGUGCUUCUUCUUUGCUCUCCACACUUAAUUGAGGUUUACAUAUGUUACAACACUGACACAUGUACUGUCUGUAAUGUCAUCCAUAUGCACCACUGACUCUUCCAUACCUCCACACCUCUUAUUUUUUGUAUUCACCAAAUAAACUAUUUUUGGUUUUUGUGA